GGAGAGGUGCCGGAGUGGUCGAACGGGGCAGUCUCGAAAACUGUUGAAGGCUUUGCCUUCCGCGAGUUCAAAUCUCGCCCUCUCCG
rfam:Candidatus Riflebacteria bacterium GWC2_50_8 gwc2_scaffold_1474, whole genome shotgun sequence.